GAGAUUUUGUUCCUUCAGUCUCCGCCCCUUUACGGCACGAUGGUCGCGCAAGAAUGUAAUAGAGCUUCGACGGCCGCCAUUUUCUUUCUUUCUUAGCUGUUAGCUGAGAGGAAGUCUCUGGACAGGCGGCAGCGGCUCUUAUAGUGCAACCAUGGCAGACUAUUCAACAGUGCCUCCCCCCUCUUCUGGCUCAGCUGGUGGCGGUGGUGGCGGCGGUGGUGGUGGAGGAGUUAACGACGCUUUCAAAGAUGCACUGCAGAGAGCCCGGCAGAUUGCAGCAAAAAUUGGAGGUGAUGCAGGGACAUCACUGAAUUCAAAUGACUAUGGUUAUGGGGGACAAAAAAGACCUUUAGAAGAUGGAGAUGGCUCUUGGACAAGUCCGAGCAGUACAACACACUGGGAGGGAAUGCCCUCUCCUUUUAAAGAUCAACCAGAUGCUAAGAAAGUUGCUCCUCAAAAUGACUCUUUUGGAACACAGUUACCACCGAUGCAUCAGCAGCAAAGCAGAUCUGUAAUGACAGAAGAAUACAAAGUUCCAGAUGGAAUGGUUGGAUUCAUAAUUGGCAGAGGAGGUGAACAGAUCUCACGCAUACAACAGGAAUCUGGAUGCAAAAUACAGAUAGCUCCUGACAGUGGUGGCCUUCCAGAAAGGUCCUGUAUGUUAACUGGAACACCUGAAUCUGUCCAGUCAGCAAAACGGUUACUGGACCAGAUUGUUGAAAAAGGAAGACCAGCUCCUGGCUUCCAUCAUGGCGAUGGACCGGGAAAUGCAGUUCAAGAAAUCAUGAUUCCAGCUAGCAAGGCAGGAUUAGUCAUUGGAAAAGGGGGAGAAACUAUUAAACAGCUUCAGGAACGGGCUGGAGUUAAAAUGGUUAUGAUUCAAGACGGGCCGCAGAACACUGGUGCUGACAAACCUCUUAGGAUUACAGGAGACCCAUAUAAAGUUCAACAAGCCAAGGAAAUGGUGUUAGAGUUAAUUCGUGAUCAAGGCGGUUUCAGAGAAGUUCGGAAUGAGUAUGGGUCAAGAAUAGGAGGAAAUGAAGGGAUAGAUGUCCCCAUUCCAAGAUUUGCUGUUGGCAUUGUAAUAGGAAGAAAUGGAGAGAUGAUCAAAAAAAUACAAAAUGAUGCUGGUGUUCGCAUUCAGUUUAAGCCAGAUGAUGGGACAACACCCGAGAGGAUAGCACAAAUAACAGGACCUCCAGACCGAUGUCAACAUGCUGCAGAAAUUAUUACAGACCUUCUUCGAAGUGUUCAGGCUGGUAAUCCUGGUGGACCUGGACCUGGUGGUCGAGGAAGAGGUAGAGGUCAAGGCAACUGGAACAUGGGACCACCUGGUGGACUACAGGAAUUUAAUUUUAUUGUGCCAACUGGGAAAACUGGAUUAAUAAUAGGAAAAGGAGGUGAAACCAUAAAAAGCAUAAGCCAGCAGUCUGGUGCAAGAAUAGAACUUCAGAGAAAUCCUCCACCAAAUGCAGAUCCUAAUAUGAAGUUAUUUACAAUUCGUGGCACUCCACAACAGAUAGACUAUGCUCGGCAACUCAUAGAAGAAAAGAUUGGUGGCCCAGUAAAUCCUUUAGGGCCACCUGUACCCCAUGGGCCCCAUGGUGUCCCAGGCCCCCAUGGACCUCCUGGGCCUCCAGGGCCUGGAACUCCAAUGGGACCAUACAACCCUGCACCUUAUAAUCCUGGACCACCAGGCCCGGCUCCUCAUGGUCCUCCAGCCCCAUAUGCUCCCCAGGGAUGGGGAAAUGCAUAUCCACACUGGCAGCAGCAGGCUCCUCCUGAUCCAGCUAAGGCAGGAACGGAUCCAAAUUCAGCAGCUUGGGCUGCUUAUUACGCUCACUAUUAUCAACAGCAAGCACAGCCACCACCAGCAGCCCCUGCAGGUGCACCAACUACAACUCAAACUAAUGGACAAGGAGAUCAGCAGAAUCCAGCCCCAGCUGGACAGGUUGAUUAUACCAAGGCUUGGGAAGAGUACUACAAGAAAAUGGGUCAGGCAGUUCCUGCUCCGACUGGGGCUCCUCCAGGUGGUCAGCCAGAUUAUAGUGCAGCCUGGGCUGAGUAUUAUAGACAACAAGCAGCCUAUUAUGCCCAGACAAGUCCCCAGGGAAUGCCACAGCAUCCUCCAGCACCUCAGUGCAGGUUUGAUCCAGCCAGUAUAGAACUAGCUCUGUAGGGGUGAGGAGGACUGUGCUGUGUAUCAUCCUUGAUUGUGUUCCUUCAAGGAGCAUUGCACUUGCCUUCCCAGACCUUCCACCUUAGGUUCUGCUGCAAAAAGCACCAGUGCUGAAGAUGCUGCAAGCACCAAAUCAUAGCUCAUAAAAUCAGGUCCUGAGAUAGUUACCCAUAAAGAGGAAUCCUUUGAGUGUAUGCCAUUGGUGAGCCGAUGAGCAUGGACCAUAGAAGGGCUCAAUGUAGAAGGUAAAAUUGGCAAAUCAUAAUUGAGAAAUAUGAAAUGUAUUCCCAUACAUAAUAUGGUAUAGGGUGUAAUGUACCUGCUUUUGAUCACUUUUCAUUUUAAAGUGCUAUUCACUUGAUCUUAAAUGUUCCAUGAACUGUUAAAUUUCUUAAGUUACAUAGUUACUACACCACAUUUAUGUGUAUGUUAUGUUUUAAUAGUCAAUGAUAGAUAUGUACAAUUGAUAAUAUAAAGGGGCUCAUUGAAACUUGAGAGCCUGUCAAGUUUUGGUUAGUUGUAGAUUGCAUUUUUAUUAAAAAAAAAAUACAGAUAGAUUGAUGAUAAUAGAUAUUGGGGCAUUGUUUCUGUCUCAUGAGAAUUCUUUUAUUCAUUACCAUAAGCCUUCACUGAUACUAUAAGCAUUAUUUUAAAUGACGCUGAUCUUAAGUCUGAAAUAAAUGGAAAGCAGAAAAGGUGAGCCAGUUGAUUUGAAUGCAUUGGAUAUUAGUGUUAGAAACAAUGUAUAGUUUAGAUUGAAACUGAACUGACUUAUUUAGCACUUAAACAAAAAUUUGACAAUGUUUUUAGUUUUUUUUAAGACAGCUUAGUGUGGUGAUACUUAGAAUUCUGUGGUUUGAUGUUUCUUUUAGAAAUGAGAAGUAUAGUUUUAUUUUUUAAUAUAAAAAUGGUUUUAAUACUAAAACUAGUAAUUUGAUACUAGUUGUUUAUAAACAUUGUAAAAUAUAUCUUUGAAACAAAUUAUCUUGGUAGUUAAUUCAUAAGGGGUGGGUUUGGGUAGGAAUAGCAGAGUACUUUCAGAGGGAAAGGGGAGUCAUUCAGAAGUGAUAGCAUUUUAUUUGUUUGAAUACUCUGCCAGUAAAAUCAGCUGUACUUAGAAAGUUAUCUGUUGUGUAGAAUAAUGAUGUAGAGUUUACUAAUCGGUGAGGAUGUCUUGUUUUUAUUUUCUGCAAACUCUGCCUCACUUUAAAAUGCAUUAUAACAAUACCUAAUUAAAGAUAAUUUUGGCUCUGAAAGUUACCUUAUUUUUUGUUGAGUUAGUGACUUCAUUUUUCUUGCCACAAUAUAAGCUUUUGAGGGAUUUUUUAAAAUUGGUGCUUUUAAUAAGCAAAUAAAUCCCAGGGUUUUAUUUUCUUCAGUGAUACCCCUAUAGAAACUCUUAAAUGUAUUUGCGCAUAUAUAUAUAUUUUUUCUUAUGCAUGCUCGAUGCAUUUUCGUCCUGAGAAAAAUGUUCUCUACAGAAACUACCCGUGUGUAAAAAGAAGAUUGGCUUAAAAUGGCUACUGUGAUGGGAACAGUGUCUUAGGGAGAUGCAGCUUGGACUUGAGGUAAAUUGAAUACUUUACAACUGUGGUUUAGAGUUUGCUUUAAUGACAUUGUAUGUAAAAGGUCACAUGAUUGCUGUAAUUUUGUAUUCAUUAUGGUUUCCUCAAUAAAUGUACAUUGAUGAAUAUUAUAAA